rnacentral:rRNA from 1 species
GACGUAGGAGGCGAGCGUUGUCCGGAUUCAUUGGGCGUAAAGAGCGCGCAGGCGGUCGUUCAAGUCGCGUGUGAAAGCCCCCGGCUCAACUGGGGAGGGUCACGCGAUACUGAUCGACUCGAAGGCAGGAGAGGGUAGUGGAAUUCCCGGUGUAGUGGUGAAAUGCGUAGAUAUCGGGAGGAACACCAGUGGCGAAGGCGACUACCUGGCCUGUUUCUUGACGCUGAGGCGCGAAAGCUAGGGGAGCAAACGGG